rnacentral:tRNA from 1 species
UUAAUCGGAAUAACCCAGCCGUUUAGCCACUGCUUAUCGCCCUUUCACGGCGGCAACACGGGUUCGAAUCCCGUACGGGACGCCA